ensembl:lncRNA
GGACAAGUUUGGUUUUAGUGAUUUUGAUAAUUUAGGUUGAGCUGAACAAGAAAAUGUCUGGAAUAGAGAGAUUUUCCUGUCCUCAGCGCAGCAUUUUUAUCAGCGUUUUGCUGUGCUACCCUCACUUUAAAGAUGGUCCGCCCGUUGUCUAACUCACUUGAUUUGAUCCCAGCACGUGGGAUCAUCAAUGUGCACUUCUGACUGAAUUUCAGAGGAUGUGUAGAAGAGUAAUGGGUGCUCCACAGACCUUCUCCCACUGUCAUUUCUCCUUGAAAGCCUGGAGCUGAGAAACGAAUCCAUGAUUGAUAGAAGAAUGGCAAGAGAGAGCAGAGUCCAUGAGUCCAUGCUUCCCAAGUCCUUGAUACUCCCAGCCCCAAAAUGCUCUUUUCUGGGUUCUCACCUCAGUUAGGUGUGCUCAGUGGCAUGCUGGUAAAUGUUUAGAAACCAGCUCUUUGGGGAGGAAAACAAGCCCUGACUUGUACUGUUUGUGAUUCCUUUCUUCUGAACACUCCCACCCUGGCUGACUGUGACAUCACCAAACCUGGAGUUGGGAAGAGAUGCACCCACCGAUGGGCUCUUGCCGACAGGUGCCCCAGCUCCGGCACACCUCUGUGUGCACUUCUGCUUCUGCUUAAAUUACGAGUUCGGUGCCCCCAUGUUUGUCCCUCCAGGGAGAUUAUAAGCUCAGUGAAGGCAAAGAGAGUGUCCAACAGGUCUUUACAUCAUCUAUAGUGCCCGGCACAGGGUUCCAUAGAAAGUUCCCCAUAAAUUGUCACCAGCAUCAUUAGUACUACUUUUAUCACUGGUGCUGUUCUUGUUAGUUAAUAAUUAUUGAAUUCAAAUUUACUCAGAAGAGCUUCUCUUGUAUCAUCUCGUUUGCUGAUGAGGAACACAAGAACGUAUUACAGACUACGGAAACAGCAUGGUGGAUCCUCAAAAAAUUAAAAAUAGAUGACUACUACUGAACUGUACACUUAGAAAUUGCCCUCUGUCUAUAACCAUUCUGGCAUGUACUCGGAGGACCGCUUCCCACUUUGCGUUAAGUGUUAUUCAGUCCAUCACUUCCUGUUGAGAGAAGGAAGUUCCAGGACGCAGAGCUAGUCCCCCGGGUGCUGCUAGUAGACGGUCAUCCUCGGUUCCACCUUCUGGGAAGGAGGUCAUCUUCACCUCUCCUCCUCCUUUCCACCAACCUCAGAAGGCAACUUGGACUUCUGGCCUCUAAAGAUGAAUAUACUGACUGUGGCCCAACACCAGACACCUGGCUAAGCUCAUGAAAGAGCCAUUGGUUCAAACAGCCAGUUUUAUAUUCUUGGCCAGCUGUCGACCCUGCCCCGACCUGAGCUGGGGCUGGGGGAAAUCAGAGGAAGGACUGAAGCAGUAGCACGUUCCAGGUAAGGCAUGCUCACUCACCUUGUCUCUCCGGGCUUACAACCUCCUCAGGAACAGGAGGAAAGUGCCUGCUAUGGGAAGAUACCCACAAAACAGAUGCGGAGGUGGAGGUACAGAGGGAGCAGACCCCCGAUGAGAUGGUUCUGUGAGGCCCUGGGGGAUGUGGGCACUCUCAGUCCAUUGCUCCCUACACCCUGGGCAUUAACAACACGAGAGGAGUUAGAGAGCUAGAUUUCCUAGAAAAAAGAGGAUAUUUAAACCUCAUCAAUUAAGCCCAACAAGGAAUGCUUCCUCUUUCAAAAACUAAAACGCGUUUGUUGUCAAAAGAUCUUUUCAUUAAAGCAGUUAUGUCAAUACACCAUCUGGGCACAAAGAAAAGAGUUCACUUGAAUGUACGUAAAUGAUAUUAGUGUUAAAAUUAUUCAAACUGUAGGUGACAGCUCUGUUUCAGCCACUGCUGCCUGCAUUCUCUCUUCUCCAGGUCCCUCUUGGAAACCAGACUGUUGUAUCUCGAGAUUGCCUUUCCCCUGAGUAAAAGGAAGUAAGUUUGAGACUGUCUACUUUUUUUCAGGCUUCUCAGGUCAAGAAGAAUUGACCUUAAUUUUUUCUUGUUCAACCUAUUCGUAAAUAUCUACCAUGACUAGAAGGUACUUAUGGAAUAGAAUUACUUAUUAGUUGAGUAUUUAAACAUAUUUUCCCUGUAGUGUCUUUCAAAGAGCAGAUUUUAGUUUUCAGAACUCCAGGAUGGCUUCCAAAUUAAUAAUUUGUUCGUUUCUUAAAACUUUUUCUUCCAAGAUCACAGGUGAGGGUUCUUCUGCAAGAAGAACAGUUUCAAAGCCUCUGAUUCUUGCCUGCUGGAAUAGCACGUGGUAGGACUGGCGCUGGGAGCAGGUCUAGACCAGUCCCAGCGGGCAGGAGACAGCACUCACUCAUCUGCAGGAUCCCAGCUCGUUCAACAAAAAAGCGAGAGUGGCAGAUGGAGGACAUGUUUUCAUCUUGUUGCAUCUUUAAACAGAUGGACCCUUUUUGAAAGACAUAAGCCCUGUUAUCAUUAAGAAUUAGAUCGUAGGAAAAAUAAAACUUAAAAAAUUCCAUACUUGACCAAUAAAGGGACUAACGCAGUAAUUCACACAGGGUUAAAAAGGACAUUUUUAGUCAUUUGAGAAAGCAUUACAAAAUGUGUAAAUCAAACUUACGUAUCCUUGGACAUGCCCUUUGAUAUUGGAAUCUGAGUUUUAUGAUCUGCCCGUAAUUACAGUUUUUGGUUAAGUUUUUAAGGAAGAGAAAAUUAAACACUUUAAGAGCCAACAGCUUGUUUCUCAAGACGUGAGCCAGGGCGGAUUUUUGUGGCUGCACUAGGCUUUCAGUCCCCAGUGGCUGGCACUCUCUUCCUAAUUCUCAAAGCGCUUCCAGCCCUUCCUCUUUACGGCGACUGUGCUUCCGGCAGGGCCUGGGUGUAGACCUGCCCGCCCUCUUGCUGUGGACACGCUGUGCGGUCACAGCUUG